rnacentral:rRNA from 1 species
UACGUAGGGUGCAAGCGUUGUCCGGAAUUAUUGGGCGUAAAGAGCUCGUAGGCGGUUUGUCGCGUCUGCUGUGAAAACUCGGGGCUUAACCCCGGGCCUGCAGUGGGUACGGGCAGACUAGAGUGCGGUAGGGGAGACUGGAAUUCCUGGUGUAGCGGUGAAAUGCGCCAGAUAUCAGGAGGAACACCGGUGGCGAAGGCGGGUCUCUGGGCCGUAACUGACGCUGAGGAGCGAAAGCAUGGGGAGCGAACAGG